AUUAAGCCAUGCAAGUCUAAGUACACACGGCCGGUACAGUGAAACUGCGAAUGGCUCAUUAAAUCAGUUAUGGUUCCUUUGAUCGCUCCAACGUUACUUGGAUAACUGUGGCAAUUCUAGAGCUAAUACAUGCCGACGAGCGCUGACCUCCGGGGAUGCGUGCAUUUAUCAGACCCAAAACCCAUGCGGGGUGCCUUCGGAAGCCCCGGCCGCUUUGGUGACUCUAGAUAACCUCGAGCCGAUCGCGCGCCCUCUGUGGCGGUGACGUCUCAUUCGAAUGUCUGCCCUAUCAACUUUCGAUGGUACUUUCUGUGCCUACCAUGGUGACCACGGGUAACGGGGAAUCAGGGUUCGAUUCCGGAGAGGGAGCCUGAGAAACGGCUACCACAUCCAAGGAAGGCAGCAGGCGCGCAAAUUACCCACUCCCGACUCGGGGAGGUA
rnacentral:rRNA from 1 species